AUUGAACGCUGGCGGCAGGCCUAACACAUGCAAGUCGAGCGGAGCGGCGGACGGGUGAGUAAUGCCUAGGAAUCUGCCUGGUAGUGGGGGAUAACGUCCGGAACCGGGCGCUAAUACCGCAUACUAUCUGCUUCGCCUAGGUCGGAUUAGCUAGUUGGUGGGGUAAAGGCCUACCAAGGCGACGAUCCGUAACUGGGCUGAGAGGAUGAUCAGUCACACGGGAACGGAGACACGGUCCAGACUCCUACGGGAGGCAGCAGUGGGGAAUAGUGGACAAUGGGCGAAAGCCGGAUGCAGCCAUGCCGCGUGUGUGAAGAAGGUCUUCGGAUUGUAAAGCACUUUAAGUUGGGAGGCGUUACCAACAGAAGAAGCACCGGCUAACUUCGUGCCAGCAGCCGCGGUAAUAC
rnacentral:rRNA from 1 species